rnacentral:SRP_RNA from 1 species
UGUUGGUUCUCCCGCAACGCUACUCUGUUUACCAGGUCAGGUCCGGAAGGAAGCAGCCAAGGCAGAUGACGCGUGUGCCGGGAUGUAGCUGGCAUGG